CCUACGGGAGGCAGCAGUGGGGAAUAUUGCACAAUGGGGGAAACCCUGAUGCAGCGACGCCGCGUGAGCGAUGAAGUAUUUCGGUAUGUAAAGCUCUAUCAGCAGGGAAGAAAAUGACGGUACCUGACUAAGAAGCCCCGGCUAACUACGUGCCAGCAGCCGCGGGAAGACGUAGGGGGCAAGCGUUAUCCGGAUUUACUGGGUGUAAAGGGAGCGUAGACGGUCGGGCAAGUCGGAUGUGAAAGCCCGGGGCUCAACCGCGGGACUGCAUUUGGAACUGGAAGGCUAGAGUGUGGGAGAGGAAAGCGGAAUUCCGAGUGUAGCGGUGAAAUGCGUAGAUAUUAGGAGGAACACCAGUGGCGAAGGCGGCUUGCUGGACGAUGACUGACGUUGAGGCUCGAAAGCGUGGGGAGCAAACAGGAUUAGAUACCCUUGUAGUC
rnacentral:rRNA from 1 species